CCUACGGGGGGCAGCAGUGGGGGAUAUUGCACAAUGGGGGAAACCCUGAUGCAGCGACGCCGCGUGGGUGAAGAAGUAUUUCGGUAUGUAAAGCCCUAUCAGCAGGGAAGAAAGAAGACGGUACCUGACUAAGAAGCCCCGGCUAACUACGUGCCAGCAGCCGCGGUAAUACGUAGGGGGCGAGCGUUAUCCGGAGUCACUGGGUGUAAAGGGAGCGUAGACGGCCGUGCAAGCCAGGAGUGAAAGCCCGGGGCCCAACCCCGGGACUGCUGUUGGAACCGUGCGGCUGGAGUGCGGGAGGGGCAGGCGGAAUGCCUGGUGUAGCGGUGAAAUGCGUAGAUAUCAGGAGGAACACCGACGGCGAAGGCGGCCUGCUGGACCGCGACUGACGUUGAGGCUCGAAAGCGUGGGGAGCGAACAGGAUUAGAUACCCUUGUAGUC
rnacentral:rRNA from 1 species